GACGAACGCUGGCGGCGUGCCUAAUACAUGCAAGUCGAACGCUUUUUCUUUCACCGGAGCUUGCUCCACCGAAAGAAAAAGAGUGGCGAACGGGUGAGUAACACGUGGGUAACCUGCCCAUCAGAAGGGGAUAACACUUGGAAACAGGUGCUAAUACCGUAUAACACUAUUUUCCGCAUGGAAGAAAGUUGAAAGGCGCUUUUGCGUCACUGAUGGAUGGACCCGCGGUGCAUUAGCUAGUUGGUGAGGUAACGGCUCACCAAGGCAACGAUGCAUAGCCGACCUGAGAGGGUGAUCGGCCCAACUGGGACUGAGACACGGCCCAGACUCCUACGGGAGGCAGCAGUAGGGAAUCUUCGGCAAUGGACGAAAGUCUGACCGAGCAACGCCGCGUGAGUGAAGAAGGUUUUCGGAUCGUAAAACUCUGUUGUUAGAGAAGAACAAGGAUGAGAGUAGAACGUUCAUCCCUUGACGGUAUCUAACCAGAAAGCCACGGCUAACUACGUGCCAGCCGCCGCAGUAA
rnacentral:rRNA from 1 species